GACGAACGCUGGCGGCGUGCUUAACACAUGCAAGUCGAACGGAAAGGCCCUGCUUUUGUGGGGUGCUCGAGUGGCGAACGGGUGAGUAACACGUGAGUAACCUGCCCUUGACUUUGGGAUAACUUCAGGAAACUGGGGCUAAUACCGGAUAGGAGCUCCUGCUGCAUGGUGGGGGUUGGAAAGUUUCGGCGGUUGGGGAUGGACUCGCGGCUUAUCAGCUUGUUGGUGGGGUAGUGGCUUACCAAGGCUUUGACGGGUAGCCGGCCUGAGAGGGUGACCGGCCACAUUGGGACUGAGAUACGGCCCAGACUCCUACGGGAGGAAGCAGUGGGGAAUAUUGCACAAGGGGCGGAAGCCUGAUGCAGCAACGCCGCGUGCGGGAUGACGGCCUUCGGGUUGUAAACCGCUUUCGCCUGUGACGAAGCGUGAGUGACGGUAAUGGGUAAAGAAGCACCGGCUAACUACGUG
rnacentral:rRNA from 1 species